rnacentral:rRNA from 1 species
AACGAACGCUGGCGGCAGGCCUAACACAUGCAAGUCGAACGCUCGUAGCAAUACGGGAGCGGCAGACGGGUGAGUAACACGUGGGAACGUGCCCUUUGGUUCGGAACAACUCCGGGAAACUGGAGCUAAUACCGGAUAAGCCCUUACGGGGAAAGAUUUAUCGCCAAAGGAUCGGCCCGCGUCUGAUUAGCUAGUUGGCGGGGUAAGUGGCCC